ACAGUGGUGGCCCUCAUACACUGCGGCCUCACCAUGCUGCGGGAACAGGACAAGAUGCCCGGCACCGGCGGCGUGAUGACGACAGCCCUAGCGUUCAGCAACACGAGCCUCAUCCAACGUCUCAACGAGAACAAUCUUAAAUUCCAAAUAGUCGAGAAUAAAUAGAGGGAAAAAUAUGAUUUCGGUGCCUUACGACGAUGAUCACGUUGGGAAAGUGUUAUCCUUUCAGACCCAAGAUUUUUUUCUUUCAGAUUAAAUAUAUUUUCGUAUUUUGGAGCCAAGCCAUCUUGCCGGCACGCACGAGACUACUGCACCACCUAACCGCUAAACUGAUUUCUUUUUGGCUGGUUUAGAGUCUCACUAUCAUGUUAUUUCAGCUUCGUGCGUAAAAAUGAAUUGUGCGCGGUUUUAGGAUUUUUUAAAGUUACAACUCGCGCCCGUAUCGUUCAGGUCUGAAAGGGAUAUAUGUUGGAGAUAUUAAAAAGAGAAAUUUUUCACAUUUCAAAUUUGAUAACUAUUUAUAUAUUAUUAUGGUUAUAAUUCAACUAACCUCUAGAAAUUAGUUAUAUAUCUAUAUUUUUAUACUGUAAUGUUUAUAUGUAACUGGAAAACGGGUAUUUAAUGAACUUAACUAUAUUUGUCGUGUCUUACUUCAUUCAGAACUUUUGUCCAGUUAUUUAUAAAUAUAUAUAUAAAAAACUAACAUAGAUUAAAAAAAAAAAGAAAUAAUAAAAAUUAUAAAUUGUAUCGCUGUAAUGUAAAACGGCUUCUUAUUUUAAAAUCUCCCGCCAUUGUGUUGCGGAGAAUUGCAUUUAGUUUUACAAAUUGGGUAUAACAAUAUCCAAGGAUACAAGUUCUAAUGUAUUGCAUGUCUCACAAUCAAACUGCCAUAAUAUUUCACAAUUAAUAUUUUAAAAUACAUUAACAAAUAUACUGAGCUUUGACUAUGUAAGCAAUAUAAAAUAAUAAAAGGCAGUUAUAUUCUCUUGAGAGUUUCUUAAAUAUAAUAUAUAACCAAUUAGUCCCACUGUUGGAAAUGAAUAUCUCGCCAUUAGGGGACGACGUUAGCACCCCGACUGGACGGAUAUAUGUAGCACGAAAUAGCAUUUAUUACGCAUUUUUUUUUUUCCUUUUGAAACAUGUGUGAUUAAAAUCUUGCAUUUAAAAUAUUAUAUUAGGAAUUCUACAUCUUUAUUUUAUAAUUUUACAAAUUUUUAUUUUAUUUCACAAUUUAAUACGAAUACCAUACAUACAUAUCUGUCACGCCUGUCUCCCAUUAGGGUUGGCAGAAACAAUGGAACGCCAAAUGCUUCGAUUCAAACAGACCUCGUUUAUUUUCGUUCUUUUUCAACAGAAAUUAAUUGUAAGCAUUUAUUUUUAUAACUUUAUUAUUAAUAGUUGCAUGUAAUUGAUAAGAUAUAAUUUUGUUAU
rnacentral:lncRNA from 1 species